AUGAACGCUUGCGGCGUGCCUAAUACAUGCAAGUCGAGCGAACAGACGAGGAGCUUGCUCCUCUGACGUUAGCGGCGGACGGGUGAGUAACACGUGGAUAACCUACCUAUAAGACUGGGAUAACUUCGGGAAACCGGAGCUAAUACCGGAUAAUAUAUUGAACCGCAUGGUUCAAUAGUGAAAGACGGUUUUGCUGUCACUUAUAGAUGGAUCCGCGCCGCAUUAGCUAGUUGGUAAGGUAACGGCUUACCAAGGCAACGAUGCGUAGCCGACCUGAGAGGGUGAUCGGCCACACUGGAACUGAGACACGGUCCAGACUCCUACGGGAGGCAGCAGUAGGGAAUCUUCCGAAAUGGGCGAAAGCUUGACGGAGCAACGCCGCGUGAGUGAUGAAGGUCUUCGGAUCGUAAAACUCUGUUAUUAGGGAAGAACAAAUGUGUAAGUAACUAUGCACGUCUUGACGGUACCUAAUCAAAAAGCCACGGCUAACUACGUG
rnacentral:rRNA from 1 species